GUCCAAUACUCAUUCCUAUGAAGCUGCUGGAACUAGAAAGUUUUGCCAGCUUUCAUAACUGUGAGCUCAUUAAAGCCCACCAAUCAAUGUCCACAAACUUACAGACCUGUUUUGUUUUCCACUGUUUCAGUUCUGUAGUUUAAUGAGUGUCUUUUUCUUCCUCUUUUCCAUGGGAGUACCAAGGCUGAUACAUCAUGCAUCAGACCCAGAUA
rnacentral:lncRNA from 1 species